rnacentral:lncRNA from 1 species
GUGUUUGAUGGUCUCUAACCUUUACAUUAAGUGGAUACAUAAUGGAAAGUUAAAACGGUACAAGACCUUGUUUUGCUAUGAUGUAAGCAUUAAAUUCUAUUGAUUUUCAACGGACACAUGUUUUAACAUGCAUAAAUCUUGAUAAAUAAGGUGGAUUCUUAAUUUAGAUACUUUAUUUUGUAUUUUAGUGCACUAGUAUAAUGGAAACCGUCAACCUUUUGUCUACUUGAUGCAUAGAUUAGAGACUACUAAAAUGUGCAUGAUUUUUAAUUUCUAGGUAUUUUUAGUGGUGUAAAUUAUGAUCAGCGGUGUGAAUCUUUGAUUUGAGUGCCUGAUUAUUGAUCUUGAAGUUGAGAGUAGUUAACGUCUCCUCUUGAGAGGAGGCUAGUCCAACCCAUAUGAUAAUCGAUAUUAUAAUUAUAAUGUUGACAUGUUAUAUAUAGUGUUUUUGAGAAAUACAAAUAUAACAUUUUUUUAUAUGACAAUAUUAAUAUCAAGAAAAUAUUAUAAUAAAUUAUUAUAACAAAAUAUUGUUAUAUAUAGUGUUUUUGAUAAAUAAGGUGGAUUCUUAAUUUAUGUAUGUUAUUAUAGUAUUAUUAUAGUAAUAUAAUAUAAUUUGCUAUAUUUAAUGGAAAUCUUGGAGUUGGCCACAUGAAGCUGGAAUCCAAGGGUGAGGCCUUUAGAAUUCUAUACCAGAUAACAAUUUUGCAGGAAGGAAGAAAGGAAAAAAAAAUUUAUUGUGGGCCCAUGCCAUUAUGGUGCCUUGCAAUAAUUAUGCUUAUUUUCCUUCUCUCGAUACUCUUGCAUAUUGUGCCCCCCACUAGACCCCCCACCCCCCUUUUUUUUCAAAAAAAAUGUGGAAAGCUUGUGCAAAAUACUAGUAUUAUUAUAAUAAGAGAUGGACUAUGUCCCUCUUUGAGAGUAGAGGGUACCAACUCCUCUUAGUUCGAAAAUCAAUAAUGGGGCGUCCAAAUCGACCAUCUACACUGCUGAAUCAUGGUCUAUCCUUAAACUAUAUAAAAAUGGCUUAAUUUUGCAAAUUUUCAAUUCCAAAAAUUACUUUAAUUAAUUUGCUUAGUUAAAAGAUUCCCAUAAUAACACUAAUUAGAUUUCACUCCCAAAACGUUUAAAACCUGCUAAGCUUUUAUAAAGAAAGCGAUUUUUAUAUUGUUGGACUUUGAGAAGAAGAAAAGGAAUGAAGACAAUACAUACGAACAUGUGAGAGAAAAUCUGUUUUAGUAGGAAUGAAAGAAUUGAUAAAAUUCUGCAAACGAUGCCGUUGUAUAUUUGAAUUUUCAAGGGAAGAGAAUGAGAGAUACUUUUGAACCAAAAGAAGAACAUGAGAUAUAAUGCAGAAGAAAAAAGAAAGUUAAUUAUGAAUUGAUUAAUUUUUCAGAUUUUUAGAAUUUAAACUUUAGUUAGAUUAUCCUUAACAAUAAAAUAUCUGUUUGCCAUGUGUAUCUGCACGUGCACUAUAACUAGUACCACGAAAAAUGCCUAGAAAAAUAAAAAAUGGACAGUUUCCUUUGUGCUAGUAUGCUAAACACUUGAUUAAGCAUUUAACUUGGGAUCCCCUCUUAUGGAUCACAAUCUACACAUGUUAAAACAUGUAUAUACUGAAAAUUGGUAGAUUUUAAUGCAAUUGGAAAAUAUGGUCUUAUAUCAUCUUAACCCUUCAAUUUUGCACCUAUUUGAAGCGGAGGUUAGAGACCGCCAAAAUAUGUGAUUUUUGGGCUCUAGGCCUUUUUAAAGGUACAGAUCAUUAUAAUCAAUGGCGUGCAUCUUUGAUUUAGGUUUCUCAUUAUUGAUUUUAGAAUUGAGAUGCGUAGAUACCCUCUCUUGUUGAUAGGAGAAUAGACUAUCUUUUAUAAUAUUGUUAUAUUAUAGUAUUGUAUUAGAUAAUAUAACUACUAUAGUAAUUUUGUAAAAUGGUAAGAACUUUAUUAUAAUAAAUUUAACAUUAUUAUGAUCACAUUAUUAUACAUUGAUACUAGUAUUAACAAUUAUUAUAACAUAUAAUUAUAUUAAAGUGUAAUAUAUAACUGUGUUUUUUUUAACUGGUUGAGUUGAUCCGCAAACUCAAGAACCUUGGUGAGUUGGGUUAUUAGUGACUUGGAAUUUGGGAGAAAAUCGCUCAAUUGGCUUGGUUGAAGAAUUGAAUCGUUUGACACAUCGGUUCAACUCGGUUGGACCCGUCCAAGUCUAGAUAAAAGGCAAAAGAAAAAAUAAAACUUAUAUAUGAUGUGAUUCAAACUUGUGCCACUGCUAGGACACUUUAUAGUGAUGCCUUAUUAUAAGAAUUUAUGAUAUUUAUAUAACUUCUUAAUUUACUGUUUUAUUAAAUAUUUAUUUAUUUAUUUUAUUUAUGAUGUCAUAGGUCAUUAGGUUGACCUAUGGUCAAACUGUUGACCCGUGACCUGGCAACCUGAAUGGGGUUUUCUAGUCAACGGGUUUUGAACAUUGAUAUAAAAUGUAAUGUAUUGUAAUGUAAUGUAAUAUAACGUAUUCUAUUGUAUAUUCUAUCAAUUACAUUAGAUACAACAUUAUGAACAUAAAAUAUUAUUAUUAUUUUUAAUUUUAUAGUAAAUUAUUAUAGUAAUACUAUGUUAUGUUAUGUUUUGUAUCUUACUGUUUCAAGAUGUGUUAUGAUUUAUAUCAAUAGUAUUAUUCAAGGUCAGGGCAUACCGAGCCAUACCGGAAGCCGACUUGGGUGGAUCUAGCCUCUAGAUUGAGAAACCAACUAGGGAGGGGGAGAGGGAGAAGGAAAGAGAGGAAAAGAGAGAUAGAGAGGGAUGGAGGGAGAGGGAGAGAAAGGGAGGGAGAGAUAGCGAGAUGGUGGCGGAGAGUGAAAGAGGAGGAGCGAGGGGUAGAGAGAGGGCUUCGUAGGGGUAAAGGGAGGGCUUUCGAAGCCCUCUCUCCUCCACUUGCAGGAAUAGGGGCAGAGCCCCUGUUUCAAAACAAAACAGGGGCUUGGGCUUCUUUUAUAUGUUUUUUUUUGAAUUUUUUGAAGAGAUUGCUGACUUCACUUAUUGUUUUUGUUUUGAUUUUUUUUUGAAAUGAAAGAGUCGGCAGAGAGGGAGGAAAAGAGGGAGGGAGAGGGAGAAGGUGGCGAAGAGCGAAAGAGGCGGAGGGAGGGGCAGAGAGAGCGCUUUCGAAGCCUCAUCUCCUUCGCUUGCUAGAACAUGGGCGGAGCCCCUAUUUUGGGCUUCGACCUCUUAUACGUUUUUUUCUGGAAGCCGACAGAGACUGCCGGCUUCACUUAAAAAAUUCAAAAAAGGUGAAGUCGGCAAUCUUUGCCGACUUCACUUAAAAAAAUCAAGAAAAACGUAUAAGAUGUCGAAGCCUGAAUAGGGGCUCUGCCCAUGUUCUGGCAAGCGGAGGAGAGAAGGCUUCAAAAACACUCUCUCUGCCUCUCCCUCCGCCUCUUUCGCUCUUCGCCACCUUCUCCCUCUCCCUCUCUCUCUUCCUCUCUUUCCUUCUCCAUCUCCCCCUCACUCUGUGUCUCUCUCUCCUCACCGACCUCUCCCUUUCCCUCCCUCCAUCUUCCUCUCCUUCUCCGUUCCUCCCUCGCCCCUCUCUCUUCCUCUCCCUCCCUCUCCCUCUGUCCUUGUUGAUUUUUCUUUGUUUGUUCAUGCCGGAACGGCACGGCAUGGUACAGGACUGUACCAUGCCACUGGCCUACCAGCACGGGUGCUAAUUCCGUUACUAUGGGCCUUGGAAUUGUUUAAAAUUAUUUUAUUGCUAUUUUGAAAACAUUGCAAAUUUUGUGACUAUGUGCAAGAAAUCAUACUAUUGCAACUUGCUAUGAUAUCUAUUGUAAAUUUGCUGUAUCGUAUCUGUUAUGUAAUUCUCCAAGUCAAUGAAGUUACUACACUUCAGUGCAUUACAUGGCGUUAUUAUGAAAUAUUUACCAUAUGGAUACGCAUUCUUGCCACUUUAUAUAUAGGAUUGAUGGAGGCCGAAGCUAGCAUAUGGGAGAUAUUGACAUAUAUUGCAUAAAAAUUGACUUAAACAUUUAUGGCACUCAACUUAUCUGGCUGACUUUGUGCUUAUGCACAUAUAGAAUCAAUAAACAAUUGAGAUAGUUUGAUUUGCAGGAUGAAGUGCUCAAAGUUGCAGGUGAGCUAAUUUAUCUUCCUUGCCUGUAUGCUAUUAUAUAUUCUAUUAUGUUGAUUUUUUCCUAUCAGUAUGUAGAUAAAAAAUUGAAGUCUACUGGUUUCUUAAGACUUUUCAUUUCACUUCUAUAUACUUCCACAUUGUAAUCUAAGUACUUGCUAGACAUGACUUUUUAAGUUGUCUAAGUCAAGGUUUUAUGUAUUGGACCAUACUAGUCUGUAUCAGGAAUAUCAUAUUAGUAGAGAACUGGUAUGGUGUAAGUAUGGUAGAGGGGCUUGAUACGAUACUAUACUAACGCAUGGUAUAGGUGCUGUUUUGACUUAGCACCUUCACCAUGUAUCAAGAUGGGCAUUUUGUGCCGUGCGGUAUCAAUAUGGGCCUUGGUACCAAGAUGCAAAACCUUGGUCCAAGUAACUUUCUAUUGGAUCCUAAGUUUGGUAUUAAAGCUCUAAAAAGAUAUAUAGAUAUUAUUUGUAUGUAAUAAAUCAAUAUUCAUAGUUAUUUGUACCUACGCAUAUGAACUGUUAAUAAUUCCUUGUACCAUAUGCCUGUCUGUUACUAAUCAAUACUAUUUAGUUGGCUUUGUUAAGCUUAAUGGAUAUUUCACAUCUCAGUCACUGUCCUUCUUUUCUAAUAUGUCUUUGAUCUAUUUUGUUGACAGUUUAAGAUGGAAAUGGCUCAAAAUGACUCUGGCAAUACACCCAAGAGUUACUCUUUGAAUAUGUUCAAAGACUUUGUUCCAAUGUGUGUUUUUUCUGAGUCUAAUCAGGGUAAGGAUGCAUUGCUAAUUAUGCAUUUGUUUACCAUAUCUAACUUAUGAUAAAUAUCGGUUUGUUUCUUAUGACCAAGAUGGCUCUUCAAAUAAUUGAAAAUUCAUGGAAAUUGUUUCCUGUCAAAGGUGUUUCUUAUGCCAACAAACAAUUAUCAUGCUUUAUUAUUUUCUGUUCAGCUUAGUAUCAUAUUGUAGCAUAUAUGGUAUAUUUAGCUAACCUCAUCAUAUUAUACUAACAUUUCACACAUGUUACAUAGUUCAGUCAAUUGUCCCAUUUGAGGUGACUCAACAUUUCAUGUGAUGUUAGCUGCUAACACACUAUCAGAGAUGCCACCAACAAUGCUUCCUGGGAGAUGAAUGGCAUCCUUUCACCAGAGCUACCUGUUUACCCAAGGGGCCAGUUGCUAGUCUGUUUUUAUUUAAACACAAGCUAGCCUGUUUUUAUUUAAACACAAGCUAGCUUAGCUUGCUCUGAUCCAGCUUGGUUUAGCUCAAAAAAAUUAAAAACUAAAUAAUUAUCAUUUAUUUUUGAGUUACAAAAAUAUAACUACUUAAAUGAAUUGGCUCCCAAGAUGUAGAACUAUAUAUAUAGCUUCUGAUUAUUUUAUCUAAAGUGGCAUCAAACAAUUCUAGUAGAGCUGGUGAAACCAUAACCACUAUUACACUGUUGUUGGUUUAUUUUCCUAGAAAGAAAAAUAGUAUGAACAAAAUGGUCAAGCUGAAACUUGAAAGUGCAUUCUAUAUAAAAAAGAUCAAUCAUUGUUGGCAAGUAUGGGGCUUUCAUGCAAAAUAGGGAAGAAAAUGUGUAUGAGUGCUCGCACAUUUUCAAUCUCGGAAUUUAGCUUUUGCAAGUUUAUCAGCAAAAAAUAUUCUUGCGUUUACUUUUAUAUGUAGUAUUUUCUAUCAUGCAUAAGAGGGUAAUCCUAUCAGAGGGACAUAAUACUUGAUGACCAAUCUCCUAGGCAUACGGUUGGAUUUUGGAGAAAAAUUAAAAAAUUACGACCGUUUUAGGAAUCGGAUUUGAGUUGAUGCAUGGUUUAAUCUUGUUCCAUAACCAUGUAAAAAUAUGCAAGUCUUCAGUAUUCCAUUUCUUUAUUCCAUUUCACUUUCUUUAGAUGGAAUCAAUGUUCGCCGAACUGGUACCGGAACCCAUACCGGUCGGCGGGCGCUUUGAUACGGUACCAGUUAAGUAUCGUACUGACACACGGUAUGCUUGGAAUUAGCACGCCCAUUUUUUUAAAAAAGCUUUUUAGGUUUGAUUUAUUGGUAAUCAAUUUUUAAAACUUUUUUAAUAAUUUUAAGUAUAAUUUAAUAUUUUUUGAUUUUUUUAUGAUCUCGGUAUAACCUAAAUAAUGCAUCUUGUUGUUUUAAAGUGAAACAAAACAUAAAAUGAUUAGUAAGGUGUUGUAUGCUAUGAGAAGCAACAUGAAAUAUCCUAAAAUCAACUAGUGAGAUGAAAAAUAUAAAAUAAUACAAUCAAUUACAUAUUUUUAAAGUACAACAUACAUACCGAUAUCUAAAAUCUCAUUGAGUGCUGAUGCCUUUUGUAGAUAUUCGGAUCAUUAGCAUAGUUAGAAGGCAUAUCAGCCUAGCCCUCUAACCAAGCGGCAUUAUAGUCCUGUACGUUCAUCCCAUAAGGAACGUACUCUGGGUUAUAAGCACUCUUGGAUCUCUCGCUGAAGCUCUGGCUCUAAAAGGUGUCCUCUGGCUGAUAAUACAGCUGUGGAGGGGCCAUCCGAAUAUGCUGUCAGCAAAAUUUAACCUGUAAGAUACUUCGAGUUUGUAGGUUAGUAGCCACCAGAAGAUGAUGCCUCAAAUGCACAAUAUUCAUAUGCGUAUCCGUAUAGGUCAUAGGUUAUCUUAAGCUGUGGGUAAUAGAAUCCAAUAUAUGACUCAGAACUUAAUACAUCUAUGGAUUCUACUCUGUGUGCGAGGUUAUUUGCAGCUGCAUCGUGUCCUUCCGAAUGACCUCGAGAAGUCUGUCUCCUAUAUGCAAUCAUAGACUCGCGGGCUCUAUCAAAUCGUGCACCGUGGUCUCUAUCCUGUAUAGUAUGCGUAAACAGUGGUCUCAUGUUCUCCAUUUUCUCUGGCUAGUAGAUCUAUGACCACCAUAAUUAUCAUCGUUGCUGCUUCUGGCCUUUGAAUUUGAGUGAACUGACUCUACACUAUCAAGGCUGCAGCUGCCUUUUCUUUUCUUUUUUGAUGCGUUGAGCAUCUGCCUGCUUCCCCUUCGUGCCCCAUUCUGUCUGGCUAUACUGGAAGGAUGAAUGUCGCCCUCUAAUUGAGUCGACCGGGUAGCAUGGGGGCCUCGUCUAAGCAACUCUCGAUCAUAUAUCUAAGAGGAUAUUUCGGACAAGGAGUCACGUAUGACCGGCUCCCUAGUAACCCUUGUGGUUGUGGCUGAUCAGUUGGAAGGAUGCGUGGAAUGUUGCGAUUUGCCUAUGCGUUGCAUCGAUCCUAGCCUCCUUGGCUACGAAACUAGCCGGUCGUGGAGGCUAUCCUAGUUUAUCAAGCUCUGGUUCCUGUUGUUAGCCCACAAGACAUCUGAUCAUAGGAUAAUCGUCAUCGUCAAUGAAAGCAUUAUGGAUCAGAUCUGUGUACUUUAGCUCCACUUCCUUCUGAAUGCAUUUCAGCCUCAACCUUAGAUUAUAGCAAACAUAUACAAGAUCGUUGAGGUGUUUCUCUGUCGAACAGUUUCUCUAUUUGUCGUGAAUGAGGGCGAAGGUGGACCAGUUGCUCUCACAGUAAGUCGAGAAAACUGUCUGGAAGAGGAUUCGGAUAGCUAGCCGCUUAAGAUUUCUCGCAGACAAACCAAAAGAAUCUACCAUUCAGUUGCAAAAAUAUUGAAGAAAAUUACAUAUAAGAUAGUAUUACAUUAGUAACCAUCUAAUCUCAGGUAAUAGUUAUUGUUGAUAUGUAAUAUAUCGGAUUCAUACUUUUCUUACUUACGACAGCUGCCGAGACUCCAAAUCUGUUUGUACCCUUUCUAAAUAUUUUGGUCACUGAAAAAGAACCAUGUUGUAAUAUGUUAAUAAUUGAAGAUAUCGGUUAAUUAAUGCAUGUCACUUAAGUUAACUUACCUCUUGUAAAUAUAGAGUCGUGAUUUCUGGAUCAGGCUCUAUCUUAUAAAUCACAUUAUGCAGAGCGGCUAGAAGUUCGUCAUCCACAUCGAUUUCAGGUACGAUAUAUUGAAAUUUCGAGUUCAGGUAGUAAGCUGUAGAUAGAGUUCGUAAUUGUUUUAGUAACAUUGUACAAGUACAAAAGUAGUCUAAUUUUUAAUGUUCUUGCUUACAUGCUAGAUGCAAGUCUAUCCAUCUGGUAGUCCCACCGUCGCUCAAUGAUGUCAAUGUACUCCCGAGCAUGUCUCAGAUCUGCCUUCCUGAUUUGAUUCUUUGCCAUCUCCAUCAUGUAAUAGAAGAAGCCUAUUUAGGGGUACUUCUUGCUGUCCAUGGCCCGAACACUUCGUACAAUGGUUUGAUGCCUUCACUAUCUUCUCGGCCCGCUGCCAGAAUGUUUGCCUCGUCACCCUACUGUCUACUGCAUCCUACAAAUCUUCGCAAUGUUCAUCAAUAUGUGGUCGAUACAAUGUGCAGCACAUGGGAUCCAGAAAAUAUGUGGCCGCCGUUCCAUCAAGAUCUCUUUGGAGGCUUUAUAUUGUGGCCCAUUAUCAGUAAUGACUUACACGACAUUCUCUUCUCCUAGCUGAUUAAUCACUGCCUCCAUUAAUCCAAGGUUGUACAUGGCGUCGUGCACUUGAUUGGAAGCAUCAACCGACUUAUAGAAGAAAGUCUUCAUAUCACAAUAUAUCAAGAAGUUGAUAAUACUCCGCAUGGUAGGACUGGUCCAACCAUCACGUAUCACCAUCAGUCUAUAUGUGGGCCACUUGCUCUUGUAUGAGGCAAUUCACUUCUCUAGCUCCUCUUUAUUGUUGUCAAGAAGCUCACCAUAGAUUUUCUUCGAUCUUGGAGGAUCUACAUGGGGACUGACAACCUGUAUGGAGGAAAUGACAGAACUAUAGUACAUAUUGUUUGCCGUAUUUGCUGAAAUGUGACUGAAGUGGAACCAUGAUCUAAUAGCUCGCCACAUAUCCUUCUUAUCUUUUUUUAGCAUUGUGUCAACCCUUUGCUGUUUUGAAUUCUUGCUGGAAAAGGCAUGUGGAUCUAAAUCAUGGAUGGUGGCUCCUGGUGAAAUCUUCUUGGAGAGGUGAAACUUCUUGGAGAACUUUUUGCUACCAAAACUCUUCCAGCAUAGAUGCAAUAUGGCCACCGCCUCUACUAAUAGCUUCUCUAACUGAGGUCCUAUUGAACUUUGAAUUUGCCAUGUUGCUCGUAGAACUGGAGCCCGACUCGUAGUGUGAAGGCCCAAAUCGAGCCCUAUGCUUGGUCACCUCAUCCUGCUAUUAUUGAUCAUCUAGGCUUUGCCUGAAUGACAACCUAGAGUGAACGCCUCGUCAUCUAGAGCGAACACUUCCUUUGACUCCCUAGAGUGAUAGGAAGGUGGUUGUCGCUCGGCAGUCCAUCUCCGCUUUUUUUUGGCAAUCCUCUCAUUCGCUACUCUGAAAUUAGCGAAGUGCUUCUUCAUUAGCUGUUGGAUCUUUUGUGGGCAUUUCUGACGCAAAUAUAUUGGGAUAACCACCAGCUAGGUGUUGCUUCAACCUGAGUAUCCCUUUUCUCUUGAACUCUAUUGCACCAGUUGCACUUUUAGCGGUAUUGAUCCGAGUGCAUUUGUCCAUGAUCCCAACCAAUGUCACACGCUAGUUUCCUUUUUUCUUGAUGGUUCCAUUCCUGCAGGUUUAUCAAGUACGUUAGUUUAUCAAUUAUUUAAAAAUAGUAAAAUUUCGUUAUGACUAUAAAAUUAUUUUUUACUUCAAAUACGUAGUAUUAUUUUUUCAUAUUUAUAUAUUUAUUUAUAUAUUUUAAUAAUUUUUAAAUUUAAAAAUAUGUUUAAAUACCAUAAAUUCAAAAAAUAUAUUUUUUAUUUUAGAAAAUACUUCUGAAAUAUGUAAUACGCACUACAAAUUUUGAAUAAUUUUUGGUAUUAAUUAUAUAUUUUAGAUUAUUUUUAAAUUUGAAAAUAAUUUUUAAAUACAAAUAUUUUUAAAAAGUAACUUAAGCUCAGAUCUAUGUAGAAUCCUAUCAUGGAUGCUACAUAUAUUUUUAUAGGCCUGUCGGCAUGCAUCAAAGGCUACUUAUUUUUCAAUUUUUUUAAAAGAAUUAAGCUUAGGCUAUAUGCAAAUGAUUACAUCAAAACUUGAAUAAAUGGACACUAAAUUUAGCUGGAGAGUAGCUUGCAUGCCCCUAAAUAUGCUUAUGAUUAUACAUUUUUUUUUAAAUUUUUUUUUAUUUUUAAUCCAAAUAUAUAUUUUUAAAUUUAAAAAUAUAUAAUUCAAAAAUAAAAAUUUUUUGUGGGAUUGUGUAUAUCAUCUAUAGAUGUACAACAUAUGAUGAAAUAAUGCUAAAAUUUUUAAUGUUUAAUUUUGGCAUGAUCUCUCUUUAUUUUGUAAAUUUUGAGGCAUUUUUUAGUGUCCAAAAAAAGAAAAGAGAAUAAGGUAGGAGAAAGGAAGCAUACCUUAUUUUAGGUUGGAUUCUCCUUGAAUUAUGCUGAAACAACGCAUUUUUGGCCCUCGGGGGGGCUUUGAAAGAAAAUGUUGGAAAGGUCUGAGAAGUUUCUCAGGCUUUUCCAACUCUUUUUAAAAAUGAAAAGGAGGGGGGACCGGUUUGGAACCGAUCCGACUCAGGGUGAACUGGCUAGUUCACACUGGUUCCACGUAGAACCAGCCGGUUUGGACCGAGUCCGUGUGGUUCAGCAGCGAUUAUGGCCGGUUCGGAUCCGGUUCCGAAAAAAAUGCAGGACCGACCCAGUCCCCUUUUAGGUCAGCUCGGUACAAGCCAAACUGGGUAGUUUGGCCUGGUUUGGCAAACCAUGGGUAGAAUAUAAGUCAAGAUGCUUAUUUAUUGAACUCGUAUAGUUUUUUCCUUUUUUAGUGCUUAGGAAAUAAGUGUUAGUAUUAGGAAGGUGCAGGGAAUACACACACAUACAUGUAUGUGUAUAUAUGUAUUAUGUCUGGUGAGAUACCAAUACCCAAUAAGUGUCCAACUUAUAUGAGCCCAUUGUAGAUAAAUUUUGUUAUUCAGUUUAUUGAUGUAAUAAAAUAUAUGAUUUAGGUCCUUGCUUCAAGUACAUAUUUGAUCAGGUAUAUACACAUCAAGAUGCUUAUAUAUUGAACCUAAGUAUAGGUUCUUUUUUUUUUACAAUUUUGGUAAGGGAAUAAACUUUUAAUAAUAGAAGGGUGCAAAUAAUUUACAAAAAUAUACAUACAUGUGUGCACACAUGUAUGUACAUUACACACACACACAUAUUAUAUAUAUAUGUAUGCAUUGUAUUGCCUAGUAUGUAUGUAUUUACAUUUUUUUACAUACGUAUGUGUGUAUGUAUGUACAAGGUUCGCUGUCUCGGUACUAGAUCCCAUACUGGUGCCACACUAGCACUGUCUCAGUAUGGUAUGGUCGGUAUGCCAUCCGUAUCGGAUACUGAUACCGAACCGGUAUGGUACGAUAUGCUCCGUAUUGCCCAAAUCGGACUGAUACGACAAACCAUGUGUAUGUAUCCAUGUAUGUUGCACAUUUGAAAGCCUUAAGGUUCAACAAGCGAACUUGCCUCGUGAAGCUUAAGCUCAAUGCCAUCUUCGGCCCAAAUUCUGCUAACCAUGGUCGGAAGAGGAUGGUUGUACGUGGGUGAGGAAGAGUCGCAAAGUAAUAUUUAUAGCAGUGAUGGUAACUUAAGAGGGGAAGGGAGAGAUGGGUGAGGGAAAAUGGGCACUAGGUGGGAAGGGGGGUUCACCAAGGAUGGAGGUGUAGGGAGGAGGUUGGGGCUGCGGCUGGUCGAGAGGAAGGGCUGAAGGUGGGCUGGUGUAUGUGGUUGUUAAUGGCACACUGGCAUUGAAUGAGAGUGUCAAAGGGAGCACCAUGCAGUAGCAAAGCAUCUAGGUUCAGCAAGAGACUUGCCUUCAUAAGCUUAUGUUUGGCUUAAAUUCAAAAAUGAUACUUAAAGCCCAAGGUCAUCUUUGGCCCCCUCUCUGUUUACACUAGUCAGAAGGCGAUGGCUGUACGUGGUUGAGGAAGAGCAGCAAAGUAAUAUUGAUAGCAAUGAUGGUAAUAGGAGGGGAAGGGAGAGAUGGGUGAGAGAAAAUGGGCACUAGGAGGGAAGUGGGGUUCACCUUGGAUUGAGGUGUAAGGUGUAGGGUGGAGGUUGGGGCUGUGGAUGGUGAAGAGGAAGGGCUGAUGGUGGGCCAACAUGGGUGGGUGUCAAUGGUGCAUUGACAUUGUAUGAGGUCAUGAGGAGAUAGGUCAAGGGAUCUGUGUGCAUAGGCUUAGGUGGAUUUGAGGGGAGGGAAGUGUUGAUAGGGGAGAAGUGGGGGAAAAAAGGGAAGAAGGUGAGGGCUGUGAGGUGGUGGAAAAGAGAGGCAGAUAGGGAGGGCCUUAGGGUUGGAAACAAGGUGAGUGAACCUGACCAUGAUCAAUAGACGGAGUUAACAGGUUGGGAGUUUGUGGUGAUAAAAAAAGAGAGGAGAGCAUAAGGGAAGAGAAUUGGGAAAAUGAGGCUAAGUGGCUAGAGUAUCAUGGUUGGGGUGAGAUAAGAGGUUUAGGUUACUCUUGAUUUAGGUCUUCCAUCUCAAAUGGAUGGUCCAAAUACUUUGGAAAACUUAUCAUGUUGUGACUUAAUAUGUGGGUCUUCUAGUCCGUCUUGGGUCAAAAGAAAUGUUCUCUGGGACAAGCUCAAUUAUAUUUCAACUCAGACCUUACUUAGGCUUGUAGCUCUUUUGUCCCUUGGCCUGGUCUCUACUUAGAGCUAUCCUAGGACUGUUAUUAGUGAACCAACUCUGUAAUUGCAUCAAUAUUUUUCCUCUUUACAUGGUUGCCUUUGUGCAUCCAAGAGUUAUUUCUGUAAAGGAAUAUGUUUUGUAAAUAUCAUACACUUAGGUGGAAAAAUAGCAAAAAAAUUCCAUCUGGCCAGUCCUGAGCAAAGAUAUGCACGUGUGUAUAGAUAUGUAUAUAUAUACAUAUUGUGAUUGACUUAAGACUACUUCGAUACCAUGUGUAUUUUUUUAGUAGUAUGGAUCUUAUAUAGCCUCGCAGGAAGAAAGCAGUUGCCUAUAUGUAUAUUUGCCGCCCAAAGACACUAUUGGAAAAAGGAACAGUAUGGAUUAUAAGAUGAGAAAACUAGUGAUAGUACAUUGCAUAUGGAGAUUGAAUAAAAAAAAAUGGAGAGAAAAUAUGGCUUGUGAAGUUGUCAAUGAAGAAUAGGCCACAAAUUUUCCAUCAAAGGGAUACUGUUAGGGCCUGCUUUCUAAUAAAAUCAUUUCCAAACUGAGAUAAAAGAACAUGGGGAACAACAUUGCGGAGAUGAAAUAUGGAAAGUAAUUGACUAGGUUAUUUUCUAGUUCCUCUGUUUCUCACUUUCUUCUUACAAGAAAAAGUAAUUAAAACAAAUAGUAUUGUAUUAAUUCCAGUAAUUCUAGAUUGACUCUAAUUCUUGGAACAUCUGAACGUUCUUGUCUUUGUAUUACUUGAACAUAUCAGUUCAUUUUUCGUUUUUAUGAGAUAAUAUCAUGCAACAUGGGGGCCCUAGUGCAAUGGGAAAGUUGCUCGAUUGUGACUUGGGUGUCAUGGGUUUGAAAUAUGGAAACAUGUUCUCCGUAUGCGGGGUGGUGGGUGGGUGGGUAAGGCUGCAUACAUCUAACUCUUCCAGACCCCAUAGUGGUGGGACCCUCGUGCAAUGGGAUGCCAUUUUUAUGAGAUAUUAUCCUGCAGUUUCUUUCUCUUGUCCGGUGUACCAAAUUCUAAACUAUGGAUAUAAAUAUAGAAUAAUGUGGUAGAUACAACUCUGACAAUACCAAUCAAAUGUAUACCACCUCUCCUCAUUAUACUUGUUAUAUAAUUCCAACUAUAUACAUUUGUUCCUUUUGUUAUAACCUCUGCGAUGUAAUCACUUCAAAAGUAAACUGUUAUUUAUUGUAGGGAAAUUUUUAUUGGAAGGAAAGGUGGAACAUAAAUUUGACAUGGAACCUCAUAGUGAAAACUUUGGGGAGUAUGGUAAAUUGUGCCGUGAAAGGACCAACAAAGCUAUGAUUAAAACCAGACAAGUGCAGGUUUAUAUCUUAAUAUUGUAUUCUGCCUUUUAUGUGUUGCUCUGAAAAUUGGUGCUCUUAAACUGUCCUGAUUUGUGUAAAAAAAUUAUCUGUAUUAGGUGAUUGACAAUGAUCGUGGAGUACUUAUGAGGCCUAUGCCUGGUAUGGUUGGCUUGGUUCCAUCUGGUUCAAAGGUAUAAUUGUAUUUUUGAAAAUGUUACAUCUCAUUUAUAUGUUAACUAUAGAUUGGUAAGAGAAGGUCAAGAUGUUCUAUGUUAUGGGAUGAUGUGAAUCUCAUGAUAAUUGACUUUAUAUGUUGAACACACUGGACUAGACCUAAACUGCCAAGAUAUUUGGCACAUUAGCUCCGAGGUAAGUAUAGUGCAGGUUACAUCAGGCUAGAUUAGAUAUACAGAGCUGUUGUCUAGUAACCUGGUCAGUUGCAUCAGCUAUUAGUUUUUCCAGACCUUGACACCUGACCUGGUUUCUAGUUUGACAUGUGAUAUUUAUUCUGUACUCUCAACUAUUUGUCUUUAGGGGGUAGAAAUUUUGUUUCUCUUGUCUUACCUGGAUGGCAAACACAUCACAUGUAUUUGUGUAUAUAUAUAUAUAAGCUGUUAUGUAGAUUGCCUCGGUAUUUUGUGCUCGCAACUAUGAUUUUAUUGCAGGACUUCUUAAUACGGCACUUAAACUUGGAUCUCAAUAAUGCCAAUUCUGUUCACUCCCAUAAAAAUAUGCUAUAUUUUAUUUAUUUGUUUAUUUACAUGUUUUGUUUGUACCAGGACAAGAGGAGGGUAACACCAACAAAAGGAUCUGAUGUGAAACGAACACGUAGAGACCGUCGGGAACUGGAGAACAUUAUCUUUAAACUCUUUGAAAGGCAGCCAAAUUGGGCAUUGAAACAGUUGGUUCAAGAGACAGAUCAACCUGAGGUAUUUUCAACUUGAUAGUCAUUUUUUGUGUAAAGAAGAUGAAAGUUUACUGGCUGAGUUCCUUUACAUAAAAUAUAACUGGGCCGAAUUUGGAUUUGCUUUGUGAUGAGCCCAAAAAAUGUAUCAAACUGGUUAUUUUAGUAUUUAAUAAUGAAAUUUAAGCCUUAACCAUGCCCCAAAGAAUUAGAAAGAAAUUUUAAAUAAUGAUUUUGAUAUGCCUAUACAUAAUUAUACGAAAAGAUGGGACAUAUAUCUCAAAUAAGUGUUAUUUCCUUUAGUUGAGUUCAAAUUUUCACACAUAAGAUUACUAGUUUGACUAGCUGAUGGUUGAAUUCUUGAGUUUUUUAAUGUCAUUUUUAUCAUAACAUUUUGUAAUAACUUUUUUCUUGUUUGGUUUAUUCAUUUUGAAUUUUAAGCAAAACAGAAAUAGUUUUCAUACGAUUUACACUGAUGAUGGCAUUCCAAUAUUGUUCAAAACAAUUUUUUUUGUACUGACCUGUACUAGAUGGUAUGGGCAUACUUUACUUGCCUGGAUCAACAUGGAGACCUAGAAUGCCCCUGUACUGACUGAUAGUACACCUAUUGUGACAAUCUAGGAUCUCACCCAAAAAGACUAGCCGGACUAGCCGGAAUAUAUUAUUUGGAUUCCUUGACGCUCUAUAUAUACCUAGGAUCUAUCCAUUACAUAACUAAUGUAGGAUUAAACACAUGCUGACAUGGGUCCUCACAUUGGAGAUAUUCGAUAAAAUUGGAACGAUAUAGAGAAGAUUAGCAUGGCUCCUGCGCAAGGAUGUCAUGCACAAAUUGAGAUAUGGUCCAAAAUUUUAAAAUUUGUAACAAUUUAGGAUCUCAUCCAAAAAGACUAGCCAGAAGGUAUUAUUUGAAUUCUUUGGCCUUGUGGAAGUACCCAAGAUUUACCUGUUACAUAGCCGAUAUGGGACUAAACUCGCCCACAUAGGUCGUCACACCCGUUGUCCAGUGCCGAGGCCGAAACCUUGGUUGGAAACAAUUGAUUGAUUAUUUUUUGUAGCUAUUAUGUUUGAGCUGAGCUUCCAAUUUUAAUGGCUCAUGUAGAUUUGCUAUCACAAUAUGGUUAUUGUAUUCUCUUUCCAUUCAUAUGACAAUGAACAUUCCAGUCAGUGUAUUAUGUUUAACCUGUUGUUCACUAUAUCUGUGAUGUUGAUAUGUAGAAAACAGCUUUUCAGCUUGUAAUUAACAAAUCAAUUAACAGAAGUGUACAGGUAAUUCUUUCUUAUAAUUUAAUUAUUUCAUGUUGUUGGGUUCGAGGGAUUUUUUUGUGUUGGUCAACCCAUAAACAAGGUCUCAAAUCUCGACCAUGCCGCACCAUAAUUGACCCCAUAGCAUGUCGUUUCGACCCCUGCUGACCCAUACAGCAGGGGGAUGUUGUCUGGGGCAUAUUUAGGUUACAUGAAUGGUAUGGGGGUGUAGCACUAGAUUUGAAACCUUGCUCAUGAUAAAUGAACAUCACCAAGACGUGCGAUGUUUUGCUGGAAUCAUCUUUAGUAGAAGAUCAUUUAUAACUUUUUGCAUUCAUCCUUAUAUAUGAAAUUCAUUGUACUUCAGCUUGAACAAUUUUUCAGAAUCUGCAUAUUUGGCAGCCUGCUUUCUUGUUAAUGAGUAACGACAUCAAAACAUGUUGUUACCUUUUCUCUAAUUGUGAACUUGCUGACUAAUAUUCACUUGGAUCGGUGACUAUCUUCUGCAACUUGUAAAUAUUUGUCAUACAUUGUCUUAUUUUUGAUUAACAAGCUGAUUGCAACAUUUUAAUUUGAGAUGUUUAUAUACGUAUGUAUGUGUUUAUGUGUGUAUGUAUAUAUUAAUGUAUGUAUGUAUCUAUGCCAUAUAUAUAUAUAUAUAUGAGACCAGCCUUUACAUACUGGAUUUUGACUGUUGUUUUUCUCUGCAGCAAUUCUUGAAAGAGAUACUAAAUGAUCUCUGUAUUUACAACAAGAGAGGACCUAAUCAAGGGACCCACGAGCUUAAGCCAGAAUACAAGAAAACCACUGAGGAAGUGGAUACUACGUAAGAUCCAUUUUCCUGCUUCCAGAAGUCCAUUGAGGAAGUGGAUACUGUAGUUAAGAACCAUGUUGUUGCUUCCAAAAAGUUCCUGUGAACCAUGAUGCUCGCAGAUCAAAAUCUUUCCCCUCAAGAACCUGGCACUCUAUGAUUGGUGAUUACCUCUUGGAAGAAUGCUUGGUGAAAAACAAAUUGUUUUGUUUCAACUUUUCACCGUGCAAAAUUCAAGUGCCCCCAUAGGUACUGAAGACAGAUGUAAUGUGUUUGCUUUGUCAGUUACAACAGAUUCCCAACUUGAUGGUGAUGUAUCCCGUCCUGGAUCCCAGUUUUUAUGAACCUUAAUAUACUUUAUAGCGAAUAUGGAGAGAAUAUGGGGAAAAAGACUAAUGAACCCUUGAUAAACUAUUGAUUUCCGUGAUUGACUUGUUACACCCAGGAUUAAUUCAGACAUAGAUGAUAGCGUCGUUUAACCAAAUUUCUAUGAGUGGAUGGUCACAGAAUGACCGGAAGUUGUCUCAUAGAUCAACUUCCGUAGAUCUGAGAUGAUGGCAGGGAAAAUGGUUAUAAUGCUUUCACAUUGUCCUCUGAAAUUAGGACUUCGGUCUUGAAUUUACCAUCUUAGUCAUUACUUAAACCUUUGUAAUCAGGCUAUUGAGGUAUUUGAUUUUCAAAUGGGGGAAGAGGAACGGGAGGCGUUCCUAAGCUUUCCGGCUCACUAGUAGGUGAUGAGGGAAUUUCAAAAAAAGGGGUAAUUGCAUCUGCUGAUGCAUUCGUUCGGAUACAUUAUUUCUUCGUGAAAAAGCAGCUCUUUAUUCUAGAUAAUAUGAGGAAAAAAAUAUGGUUCUAUAUUUAGCUCUCAUCAAAGCACUUUAUAUGCUCUCGGGCUCAAACAGAUACCGGGCCACAUGUCUAGCCGCUAAAGCCUCCCUUCUCAUUAAUAAAGAGCAAAUAUCCAAGCUUUCACUACUACGAGGCCGACAGAGUACCUCUGAAGCCACCAAAUGAACAUCUUCCUCUCAUUCUGCAUUUCCGAAAGAAAGUUUUUGAACAUCCGCUCCAAUCUCAAAUUUGUGUUGUCUUUCAUGUAUCAUAUAGGGAGAUUUUUAACAAUACCCAACAUUUCUAAAGAAUCUUUGGCUCAAUCCUCUUUAAUAACUAGAAAUAAAAAUGCACAACAAAUCUCUUUUGUAGAAGCGUUUGAUUUAUUCUGCUUUCAACUUUAUUAGUUUGAGUUAGCCUGUGAUUAUACUGGCAAAUAACGUAAAUUCUUGAAGCUCACUGUCGAUUCACAUUUUUGUUUAUAAGCUUCCAAACAUUGCUGUUCCGAAUUUCUCUCUUUUUUCGCACUUCAGUUCUGAUACGUCAGCAUUACUAGCUGAUGCAUGGACUAAAUCUUUGAUGUGGGGAUUCUAGCGAAGCCAACAGAGUUCUGGACGAUAAAAUAAAACUGUGUUCACGCCCGAACAAUCGUAAGAUUUUUGGGCAAGCAAUCCUUCCUGAAGCGGACUGCUUAGAGAACACGAGUGGUUACUUUCUUGAAACCAUACAUCGACGGAUGCCUUCCCGCUUGUUAGAAAAUCUCUCUUAUUUAUAUCUAGAAGAGCCAUAAUUUAGAUUUAUUUUUUCAGAAGUGGAAAAGGUCGUGCCUCCUUGUACCGGUGAAGGGUGGAUGUGAUUAUACUAAACUAAAACGCACCGAGCCUGGAAAGUUGAAGAAUGGGAUGAAUAGGCUUUGCGUUUUGGCCAACGAUUCUGAAAGACAGACCAAUGGAGUUCUUUGGAAUUAACACCCCUAUUCACGAGAUGUCGUUGUAUAUGUCAUCAGGGAAUCAACAUCAUCUCACACUGCGUCAAGUCACGAGCGAUGUGAUAUCCCAAAAUCCUGCUACUCCAGGAUUUAUGGGAUCGGGCAGCCCACCGAACCCAAGCAACAUCGUGAAAGGAGCCCAAUAAGCCAAUCAAAUCCACCUCCACUAACGUGAGAGGGCAUUUUUUUUUCUUUUUUUCCGAUGCACCAUCUGCUCACCCUAGUCUAAUAUAAAGCAAGAACUUGACACAGUAGUAUAGAAGAGACCCCUCGAUAAGUCUAAAGGACCUUUUCCAAAUGCUGAGCUGUAUAAGUAGCAACUCAAUUUGUGGCUCGAUUUGCCUUGUGGUAAACAUGCACAACCUGAAAGGUAUUGCAUCCUCCCAUCUAUCGAAUGUCGUGUAGUAGAGGGCUCGCAUCCUCCCUCCACUCCUCCUUUCAUAUCCAAUCAAUCACCGAGGUUGAGUCCCCUUCCAGGAUGAUGCGCUCCGUGCUCAGCCUUCGGCUCGUAAAGGAUAUGCCCUCCCAAGUUGCCUUAAGCUCCGCCCCUGCAGCUGACAGCGCGACGAUGCUUCGGCCUCCUACAGCAAUUAGCUGUAAGUUAUGACUCUUGAUCACAAACCCCAUACCUACUCUGUCUCUCUCUCUAGCAACACUAUCAUCGAAAUUCACCUUGAAAUGGCCGGGGGUAGAGGCACCCAAGAGAGAAGGACGAACUUAGGCACAAUAUUAGCAGAGCAAGUGUCCCUAACCAUCCCAGAUGAAAUCGACGUAGUGACCAGGAUGAGCUCUACAAUCUGGAGAGUGGCUUUCCUUACUACACUACUCGGUGGCACCCGUCGGUUAUCCAAAACCUGAACAUUCCUAUCCAACCAGAUAUGAUAUGCUAAGUAGGCACAGGUGAUCCCCCACUCCAUCGUCCUCGGGCUCUGCAUCGCCUCCUUUAUCUGGCGUAGAAGGUCAUCAGCUGAUCGAGUGCUCUGGGGCCAGGUAACGACAGCCCCGCUCCAGAUCUAUGUAGCUCGCGGGUACCCUAAAAGAACAUGACUGAUGGACUCUACCUUCGGCCACCACCCACAACACGGAGUAAUCCUAACAACCCUCUCCGCCAGCAUGCUUCUUGUAGGUAGACAUUCCUAUGCCACCUUCUAUAGGAACUGAGCCACACGGGAAUGAACAUGCAUCCUCCAAAUCCAUCUACUGUCCAUCUGCCUGGCAGCUACCCCAUCCAUCGCCUCCUGUAAGUCCGAGGCACUCACCUUGGAUCUACCUAUAGCAGCCCAAACCAGUCUGUCCGAUACUUCCCCCAUGGGUACCAGAAUGGUCAGAAUCCUCUCGUAAGUGGACGGAAGCUUUUUUAUGUUGUUGCUGGCGUUAGACUCAUUUGGUGGAUUUAGAUUGGAUUAGAUUCUUUUUUGUUUUUUUUAUGUUUUUUCUCUUUUCGGGGAAGAGGCGGGUUGGUUCCAAGUUUAAACUACACCUAGAUUUUUAAUCGAACUUUGUUAGGUCAAACUUGGUUAGGUCUUCAGCGGUUUCUAAUCGUUCCGGUAAUAAUUCCACAAUAUCCAAAGUCUUCAUGCGUUUCUAACCCAUCCGGCUCAAGUCUUACCGUCGGACAACAUAGAUGAGACAUUUAGUCUACACUUCGAGGAUGAGUCAACUUUAGGUUGGAAUGAAACGUAUUCUUGUAAUUAAUAAUACGUUCUCAACUCAUGCACCCGUUACCACAACAUUAUAAAAUGGAUUUGAGAUUGAAAAGUUGAAACGGCAUACAUGUGCAUUGACAGUGUGACAUCAGAUACGAUUAUAUUAGAGAGGGAGAGGGGUUUUAUUUUAUAUCUUACUAUUUCAACUGAAUCAAGAUCUUCUUAUCGUAGAACACAAGUGCACACGUCAAACGAGAGGAGGACAAUUUACAAUCCACCCCUACUAAUCGAAACAUAAUAGCAAUAUAAUAAUGCACCUUGCGUCGUCUUCUAGUGCUUAAGAUACCCAAUACGCAAACGAAAGAGGAUAAAUUAGCAAGUUCACAUGCUGAAGUGUGGGGGAACUCGGAGUUUCACAUGCUCCUAGUUUCGCCUUCCAAAGCCUAGAACGUCCAAUGUUAAAUUUUUUACUUUAAAAAAAUUAUAUCUAUUAUAAACUUAGAGAAAAAUUAAAUAUAUUCUCCUAAAAUAGUUAUAAAUAAAAGUUGAGUACUUAAAAAAUAUUUAUGUAUUAAUUGGUUUUGAAGAUUUCCUAAUAAAUAGUUGUGGCAGCACAAUAUAAUGGAUUGGUUUUUUUAGAUGACACGAUGUAUAGAUAAAAAAAUAUCUUCCCUUACUAAGGUAUAUAUGGAAUUUGCACCAACCAGAGAUUCCACAUAAGGAAGGCAACUAUAUAUAGUUUUCUUUUUUUUUUUUCGGAACAAAAAAUGGUUUAUGAGUCAGUCCUAGUAGCGAAGCUGCGUGCGGCAUUGGAGGGCCUCGUUCAGGCUAGAGUGCACCUAAGUGCUCGGUGGAUCCUUCUUGAGAGAGACUUGGCUGCAGUGGUCGACUGGAUUCGGAGUGGGCAUGUCAGGCCAGAUUUGCAUCCUCUAGUUUAUGAUAUCUAUUAUUUUUUAGAGGAGUUGGACUCCUUCCGAGUCGCGCAUGUUUUUCGAAAGAUGAACAGUGCGGUAGACUGGAUCGCUUCUUUUAUAGCACACCACUCUAGGGCCGUCUUAUCAGGGAUUUUGAAGCCCGUGCUGGUGGCACUAGAGCGUUGUUUGUAUUGUGACUAUUCUGACAUACUCACGGCUGGAUGUAGUGAGUCGCCACCAAAAAAAUAAAACAUGGUUACCAUAGUUUGCACACGACUCCCAAGAGUCUAAAAUAAUAGCAAAAGAAACAAGAAAGGUAGAGCAUAUACGCAGAUCGGCAGAUGAGAGAUGAAAAGAAGUCACGGGCCAGCGAUGCCGACAGCCGGUGGCGGGACGUGGAGUUUCACAUGAUGUUGUCCAAGAUCUCGCUUUCACUCUCUUUCUCCAUGGUUCUUCUCCCAUUCUCGAGUCUAAAGUCUGAAGGAGGUCCUCCUAGCCGACGCCAAAGCGGCAACAAUCACUGGAAGUCAGAGAGACCCCAAGCAUGCAAGGAGGACAAGCCACGUGCUGAGAAGACCAAAUAUUUGACUUGGUAGUUGGAUUCCAGGGCUAUCUAUCAAUGCGAUGUUAUGGUCUUACUUGUCGUUAUAAGAUAGCUAUAUUAUUAUACCAGUUUACUUGCUAUUGGGUUUACUGAAAAGUUGGCCAUCUAAUACCUAUCCUAUAUAUAUAUAUAUAUAGNNNNNNNNNNNNNNNNNNNNUAUAUAUAUAUAUAUAGGAUAGGUAUUAGAGUUCUUAAGCCGGACCUGAUGGAGCUAUGUCUUAUGAACAUGCCUUGAUGCGGCAUGUCAGCAUGGUGCUCUCUCAUCCUCGCAGCAGCAGCCGCCGCCUCUUCUGAUUCGAGACAUUUGAACUUUGAUCUAUAGUAGAAUGGCUCUUUAGGCCAUGCAUAUCUACAAGGAGGCCAACAAAACUAGUGCAUUUGAAAAUAUACUGUAUUUUAAUUUUUUUUAGAUGUUUCAUGUAAAAUUUGUAUGAAUCAUUUGUUUUAGAAAAUAAUAAUAAUAAUAAUGCCGUGCAUAUGGGUGGCAUGAUGGCCAUCCUGGCUGGCUCAACGUAUGCCAAAAAGUUUGCUCGCUGUCGCUAUUUACGAUGAGAGAGGAGCUGAGCAUCUGCGAUUUUGGUGAUGCAGGCUUCAACCUUAUUGCUCAUCAAUGCUAGCUUUCAAUAUUAGCUCCGAUGCUCGUUAAUCGUUUUGACAGGAUGGCUGAUGAGCUGCAUCAAGGUACGUAGUGCCGCCCUUCAAAGGAGGGAUAGAACUGAAGCGAGUUGUUGUACUUGCCAUGACGUGGUCUGAAAUCUUGAUGAUGAAAUGGUUAAAAAUUUUCUAAUGUGACAAGGAAAAUUGUUGUGAGAAACACAUCCAGGCAAAUGUCCAUUAAACUCAUGUCGUUUUCUAUAGUUUAUGAGUGCCGUUGAUUUUUAUAGACCCCCAAGCCAUGCACUAGGUUGCCGUGCUGCCCGGGGAGCCUUGUGCCUAGCAAUUUAUGAUGCAUUCACUUGCGUGCGAGAGGACCGAAUAUACUACGAUUCGUUGUGAAUUUUCAAGCAACUUUUAAAUGGAUUACUUGCAGCAUGGCAUAUUGCUGAAGUUUACAUUAACCUCAUCCAAUUUACCAUAGCACAAAAUGAUUUGAUGAAUGAUUCCAGCGUUUCAAAUAGAAUAUGCUUCAUGUUAAGAAGCUCAUAUUUUUUAGCCUGACUAGCCAUAAUUUAAUUUUUAUUCUUGCAGAUACACGAGUAAUACACACACACACACGCAUAUGAUUUGUGAUUUAAGAGCAUUAUCGCAGUAUUUGAAGCAAAGUUUGUUGAGUUCUGAUUUCUAAACCAUGGCAGGCCCUAGCAACUCUAGGAUGUACAUCUGGAAGCGAGAGCAAAAAAAAGAUUUAGAAACAGAUCUCCUAUUGAUGGGGGGUGAGAAACAAUGAUGCAAAAAAAACCAGAUGUUGGAAUAAAAGGAUAAGUAGGGAACUGGGCUAAAUAUUAUUUUUCCUUUUAAUCAUACAUUUUUAUUUAUCCUUAGCUAAUUAAUUAGCUUAACUAGGAUAUUUGAGAUGUCUCUCCUCAUAUUUUUCUUACCGCUUCAUCAAUUAAGGAGCUGGAAUGCUAAACUAAAUCCUAACACUAAUUGGAUGCAGACCUCAUUCUUUUCACUUUCGAACUUAAGAUUAGUGUGACCAUUUUGGGCAUAGGACUAAAAAAUGGCCAUCCUUGCAAGGAUGGCAGUUCAUGGCAUUUGCUAUGCUAUAAUUAUAUAAUGAUUUGUAAGAGCAAAAUGCAGGAUGGUACUACACCUUUUAUAGUAGAAUGAUAGCAUUAUCAACAUUACAUAUUUCAUGAUCAAGUAGUCCAGAUUAAAAAAAAAAAAUUCAAGAUGUGCAAAUGUUAGUUGUAUUAAUAACAACAUUAUUUAACACUGCCAUGAUAGCAAAAUUGUGGACACAAUGAUUACAAUCAAUGCUUAAAGUGCAGGAUGGAUCAAUAUUUUGAAAGAAAUCAAUUUUACUACACUUGAAUGAGCAUAUUUGCAUCAUGAAUGUCAAAAAUAGCGAAUCAGCGUCAUAAACAUGGAAUGCUACUUAUAUUUUACUUGGAAAUAGUUACAACUGCAAGGUCUGCCUGCUCUUCUUUGUCUUGAUACCAAUAAACCACGUCAAAUUCCAUGUUUUUAUUGCAUGUACCCAGGCAAAGGGUGCUCUCAGGAUAGAAUCCCACGAUGAGGUCCCUUGGUACACCACCUAUCCCACCCUUAAUUACCACUCUUAAAACUUUGCAUCCAUAUAUAUAUAUAUAUAUAUAUUACAACGGUGGCUCACAGAUGCGGCAAAUAAAAUUAGAAAACAAAAAACUAGAUAAGAGUUCCGACACUGCAUCGUAAUCUAUUCGUACGAAACUUUCAGAGUGGUAAACUGCAAACGAAGCAACCUAGUCGGCGGCACCGUUUGCUUCUCUUUAAACAUACGUGGCCUGAUGAAAGCCACAUUGUUUCAGGAGUCUACGAAUGUCAUUGAGCAAUGAUUUACCCUCGUGGCUUUUCUCAUGAAACCCACGUAACGGAUAACUAUAGAGAGCCAAGUCCUCCAAUUCCUUCUCCUCUCUUUCACUUUUCUUUCUUCUUCCACAUACCAGCGUGCAUUCAACGACGUUGAAAGGUCUACCCAACUGCUCAUUUAUUUCAACGUCCUCCUCUCCCUAACAAACUUUGAGACCUGAAAUUUACCCGAACUCAAGGACUUCAUGUCACCAACAAUGGCCUUCACCUCCCAAUAUCAAUGUCCUCAUCUUGUUGAGGAUAAUACCAUGAACAAUAGAUUAAGCUUAUAGCUAGAGACCUUGAGAAGGUAUAGAAACUGUGUAUUAUUUAGGCAUGUAAUAUGUAUUAACAAAAAUAACAUGAUCGACUAUAUAUUAUCUUGAUUUUAGGUGUGUAUCAAUAAAGCAUGAGGUAUGUAUCUAUAAAGUAAUAAGUAUGUGUCUAUGAACUGUUGGGUAUGCAUGAGCAUACUAGAAAGCUUAUAUAUGUAUUAAUUGGAUAUGUCCUCAUCUCCUGUCGAGGUAUGCCUGUACUUAUGCCAGAUUAGUGGAAACGAUCGUUUUAUAGAAAAAGAAAAAAAGUGACCUUGGAUGCGCUCUUUAUUAUCCCACUUCUUUCUUUGUUUUUCUUCUAUUUUUUUUUCUGUUAUUAUGCAUCCUUUGAGAUGUUUGUGAUGAGAAAAGUGACAAGUAAAUCUCUUUAGAUGAUGUACUCAUUAGGAAAUUUUGAUCCGUAUUAUUGGAGAUAAGCUACACGAGCGUUUCAUUACGAUUUAAUUUGCUCGGUGAAAGUAAUAACUUUUAUAUUACUUGAAAAAGAAAACUUCUUAAAAAAGACUCUGCUUUCUCCAACCCACCCCCUCCUCCCCAACUUCGUUACAUUUAUGAGGUCUCCCGGUCCCACUCCAAAUAAUCCAAAUAAAACGACAAACAAAAGCCAGCACCCUCUUACCCAUUCUAGCCGUGGUUGUCUCUUUCGCGGUAAAAAACGAUACACCUUCCUUCGCGCCCAUUCACCGUUGGAUGAUCGACAGCACGGAUGUCAAAGCCGCCGCACAACUCUCAAAGCGAAGUACGGAUGAUCCGACGGUCGACACCCGUGAAGGAAGGUGUACCAUUCUUUAUGCGGUGGCUUAGCUGUGUAGGUACCUGAAAAGAUCGAGAAAAAAAAAUAAUACUAAAGCCUCUUUUCAUCUAAUAAAAGAAUUUACGUGCACAUAAAAAAAUGUGCGUGCACAAAACUUUAUAUUGAUUUAAAUUAAUUGUGAGAUCAUAGGAGUCACACCAAAAACAAUCGUACAUUUAUACAUUUAUCGAUUUUACAUAAUUUAAAUAUUCGAUUAUUAUCACUUAUUAAAAUUAUUAUAUCGUAUUAAAAAAAAAGAAAUGGAAGCGAAGGCAAAUGGCCCAAAUGGUGGUUCUCUCUUCCGGAGAGAGAAGAAGCCCCCAUGCUCGCUUCUUCCUUCUCUCUCUCAAUGAUGACUUAAAUAGGAGGAAAGGGGCCAGUGAUAGAAAAGAGCCUUUUCCUCAUCUUUUCUCUUAACUUCUGAGCUAUAUAAUUUGCUGCUACCCCUUGAGGGUAUCUGGAGCGAUGCCAUCCAGGCUACCGCCGAUGCCGGCGGACCCGCCGGAUCCCUCCGCGGCCCUUCUUCCCCACUACCACCACCGCCCCCGCCCCACCAUCCUGGUCCCCGUGGUUUUCGCCGCGGCAGCACUCACAGCCAUCGUGCUCGCCGUGCUCCUCUACCGCCGCCUGGCCCGCGGCAGGGCAGCCCCCACAGUCCCCGCCGAUCUGAAGCCCGCUCCGACGAGCACCCUCCGCCGGUUCUCCUACUCCCAGCUCCGCCGCGCCACCGCCUCCUUCUCCCCCUCCCACAAGCUCGGCCAGGGCGGGUUCGGGCCCGUGUUCCGCGGCGCCCUCCCCUCCGGCGAGGAGAUCGCCGUCAAGCUCAUGGAUUCCGGCUCGCUCCAGGGGGAGCGCGAGUUCCAAAACGAGCUCGCCCUUGCUGGCAAGAUGCUCGCCAUGGGGCCCUCCCCGGACCGUGGAUGGGUGGUGGCUCCCCUCGGGUACUGCAGCUCCGACGAGAAGCGCCUCCGGCGUCGGUGGUGGCGGCGGUGGCGGGAGGCAGACGUCGAGGAGGAGGUGGUGGUGGAGGCCUCCGCCGUCGUCGGGGGGACAGGGCGGAGGGUGCUCCUGGUGUACGAGCUAAUGCAUAACGGGAGCCUCCAGGACGCGCUGCUCGACCGGCGGUGCCCGGAGCUCAUGGACUGGGGCCGCCGGUUCUCGGUGGCGCUCGACAUUGCCCGCGGCCUCCAGUUUCUCCACACCGGGUGCGACCCCCCGGUCAUCCACGGCGACAUCAAGCCCAGCAACAUCCUCCUCGAUGCCCGCCUCUCCGCCAAGAUCGCCGACUUUGGCCUCGCCCGCAUCAAGACCCCCGUUGCCGACGACCUCCCGGCCGCCGCCGCCGCCAAUUUGGGCGAUAAUGAGGUGGUCGUCGAGAUCGAGCUGAAUCAGGCCGUGACCGGUGAUUCUAAAUCCUUUCCGAACGAUAGGAAGAAGGACUCAGCGGUGGGUGGAGGCGAGGAUGAUGCUUCAAUCAUGGGAGAGACUGCCGAGAGCACCACGACGACCACCGGGUUCGAGGAGUCAAUUGGAUGUGGAGGGUUUGCAAUUAAUGGUAGUGGAAAUGGUGUUAUAGCUCCUGAGAAAUCUCCAGAGGAAGAUGAGGGCUUCACCAUGGAAUCACCGGUGGAGACUGCAGUGGCCUUGGAAGUGCAAUCAACUUCGGAGACAGGAGGGGGAUUCGAUAGGAUGAGUGUGGAUAGCGGGAAGGAUACUGCAGCCUCCGGAAGCCGGAGAGGCGGCCGGAAGAAGAGCGGGGCGGGCAAGGACUGGUGGUGGCGGCAGGAUACUGGUGGGGGAGCAAAUUCCGAGUCUGGAGGCGGUGUCAAAGACUAUGUGAUGGAAUGGAUUCGGUCGGAGAUCAAGAAGGAGAGGCCUAAGAGUGACUGGAUUACAGCUUCAGCCGCUUCUGCAGAGGAUUGCUUGCCGAAGUCAUCAGGAGGGGGGAGGUCGGAGCGGAAGAAGCAGCAGCGGCGAAUGGAGUGGUGGGUUUCGUUGGAUGAGGAGAAGUCGAAGAAGAAGGAGAAGAGCCGGCCGCCGAGGGAGUGGUGGCGGGAGGAGUUCUGCGAGGAACUCACCAACAAGCAAAAGAAGCGGGCGAUUGAGAAGUCCAAGAGCAAUGCCGAGAAAGGAGAGCAACAAUGGUGGCAGAAAGAUGAGGACCUUGCGUCGCCUUCAGGCAGGAGGAAGAGGAGGAAGAAGAAGAGCUGGAGCAGGGGCAGCCGGACCAGUAUGGACUGGUGGACGGAAGGCAUCAGUGGGGACAUCAGGACCACUGGAAGGAGGAGCAGCCGGGACUGGGCAAGUGGGGAUAUCCCGAAGAGUGGCACGGUCAGCAGCACCCCAAGCAUGAGGGGCACUGUCUGCUAUGUUGCCCCUGAGUAUGGCGGUGGCGGACCUCUCUCGGAGAAGUGCGACAUCUACAGCUUUGGUGUCCUUCUGUUGGUUCUCGUAUCAGGCCGGCGCCCAUUGCAGGUGACAGCAUCUCCCAUGUCCGAGUUCGAGCGGGCCAACCUGAUCUCGUGGGCGCGGCACCUUGCUCACUUAGGAAGGCUCCUUGAUCUCGUCGAUCCAUCCCUUCGAGCUGUGGACAGGGAGCAGGUGCUUCUUUGCAUCACAGUCGCCCUCCUGUGCCUCCAGAGGUCUCCAGCUCGCCGACCGUCUAUCAAGGAGAUAGUUGGAAUGCUUACUGGCCAGUCUGAGCCACCGCACCUCCCUUUGGAAUUCUCACCAUCACCACCUGGUGGGUUUUCAUUCACGUCCCGGAAGAAGGCUCGGUGAGUUAAUCAAUUUUUAUGAGCAUUGGUUCUAGUGUUUAUUGUACAUCAUUUUGAAUUUUCCAUCUCUUUGGAGGUGAUGGAUGUAUAAAAUUCUGAACAAAAAGAGAAGCAAUUUCCUUUUGAAUUCGCCAAGAUUGGUCUUCAAUUCCAAUUUUGAGUGUGAGGGAACCUUUUAGUGCAAUUGAGUUGUUAGGGAUCUCUUGCACAACUUACUCCAAACUAGAAUUCUUCGGACUGUUGGUAGAGAGGCAACUCAAAUCGAUAAAGUUCCUUUUGUCCUGGUAGAUUGAAAGGGCUCUUGCCUUUUCGUGUGCAUGAGGUAGUGCUUACUGGGCCAUGUAAAUAUACUGUCACUCCAUCCUUCAGUUUUUGCAUGCAACUUUUCUUAAAGUAAGCUAAGCUUUGGCCCCAGUUCUACCGGGUCUUUUGCUCCAAACUUAUGCUGUUAAAAGGAAAAAAGUUGUCAAAGAUUCUUCUGCUUCCUUCUUUUUGCAAUGUGUAGGCCUUGACCAGAUUCCUUGUAAGAGAGGCAAUUGGCUUUUCAGAAUAUCAUUUUCCAUGGUGCUGUGGACAUGUAAUCUUACUUCACAGUCUCUGUGCUUUUCAAAAAAGCUUCUACUUUCUACCAUGUGGUUUGCCUAUCUGGUCUGGAUGAACUACUAUGCUAGUAUGACAUGGUCUUCAGAGUUGGCCUGUCAAGGACUCAGUCUUGACAUUCUGGGUCACAGAAUAUCUACUCAAGUGGAAGGCUUUGGGUUUGGAGAGCAGCCACACUGUUAGGUAGGGCCAUGCUAUCAGAAUUGGUCAAGGAGAACCUGGGAACCUUACCAUGUAUCUGACUUUGUGAGCUAAUUAUGUGUUCAGAAAGAUCAGAAAUUUAAAAUUCUUCAACAUUGGCUACUGCAAGAAAAAUUUUCAACUCUACUAUGUUGCUGAUGACAUUAUUUUAAUAAAUUUUCUGUGUACCCCUAUCUGACCAAAAUGAUGGUCCUAUUCUUGGGCAUAUGUAUUAAAAGCUGGUAAAUGACUGAUGUUGAUUAGAUUCUGUCAACUAUUUAAUGCAUUGCUCCUCUUUUUGCUAUCGUUUAGAAUCUUCCCGUAAAAUGGUCCAAAAAUGAUGAUAGUUAUUGGUCAUCCAUCCACGAUUAUUUGGAAUACUUAUAUUUAUUAAUCCAGCUCCUUGGGCCAUAUACAGAGCAAAAUGUGCUGCUGUUUUUAUAGCUGUUUCAUAGGUGAAUACUUGCUGCACAGCAUUCUUGAUCUAAACACUUCUUUCUCUCUCUCUCUUUUUCUUUUUAAUUUCAAUGCUGAUGUAUGCUGCUUUGCUCUUCCUCGAGUGGAACUCCACAAACCUUUUUUCCUGGAGAGUUCAGGGAGAAAAGACUUAAAGUUCUUUUCUUGUAAACCUACCUAACAGUUUUUGACCUUGGAUAACCUGUUGCUUUCAUGAGAACUUUUGAGCGACCGGGUGACUUUAGUACUUUGUUCUUGCCCCAAGAGAUAACUUAAGAUGAUUGUUUAAAAUUGAUUCUGCAAUAAAAGAAUGUUUGGUUUUAUUUCUGAAUUUUUUUUUACUCACUUUUACAUUUUCUUUAUUCCAUUGGAUUUUAUUUUUUUCCUUUUCUGCAUGUCCUUGGUGAAUGAGGAUCCAUAAAGUUGACCCCAAGUAGCUGGGAAAAGGCUGGAUUAUUAUGGUUGAGCUAGUGUAAUUAACUUCUACUGAAAACUUUUGUUAAUUAACACCUUUGAAUGUAAGUAGAUCUUGGAAAGAAAUGUUCUUGCAUUAUCCACACAUUACUCUCCUGUGAAUACACUUUUCUAGAUGUAAAUUGCAAACUAGUGCUUCAAGCCUGUUUGGUUAUCCUGUUUCAUACAAUUUAGGAGUUGUAAUCUUUUAGUGAUAUUUCAAUGGCAACAUUUUGCGGCCACUCUGCAACUUUUAGGCUGCUGACCUGUUGACUGACAAACUUAUCAGAUGAAAGAUGAAGGAUGAUCAUUUGCAGUUAGACAAUCAAAAAUCAAAUGCUUUAUGGAAAAUUUACGAAUCCUAGUGACAAUCUUCCAAUUACAGGUUUUCUCCCUGCUUGCUGUUUGUCUUUCCUUUUUGAGGAGGUGUUCAUGUAAUUUCCCUUUUCAUUUCAUAUUUUCCACCUUCAUCAGCUGACAAAAUUGAUGUAAGGUGUUAAGCUGAUUACCCAUGGUAGCAGGUAAUUGUGUUGAUACGGAUUGGCAAGGAAUGUAGCAGCUGACUGCGGGCUUCAGCAAUCGCAGAGACCAUUUGAGUCGAUGGUGUUGCUAAAAUUAGUUAAAGAAGUUGUGUCCUCAGUUCUCAAGCGAGUCUACAACUUGUCUAUAAUCUGCUUAAUUUUGUGGCAUAUUUGAUGCACGUAGAUAGGAAGAAAAUGUGCACCCUGGUUAUCUGUUCACUUCUGGUUUGGCAGCAGACUUAAACUUCUGGGUACUGGUAGAAAAUUAGGCAUUGCCUUGGGGAUCGUCAGAUGCUCAAAUGUAUUUCGGAGCAGGAUGAUGAGGAAUUAUAAUUAUUCUUUGGUGAUGUGACAGCAAGAAGAGGUGAAGAGGCCUAUUCAUGGGCUGGAGAUUCUGAAAAUAAAUGAAUUUAAGCUUGAUAUGUAUGUACAAAGGAAGAAGAUUCUGCGAUGAGGGAAAUGAUAAUAAAUAAAUGGAGUUUUCACUUGGAAUGUGAGUGUUUUUCAUGAACCAGUACAAGAUUUGCACUGAAGUGACCUAUGAAGAAAUUAGGGGUCUAAGUCACCGCUUUGAAUAAGUUAUUCAUAAGUUAUGGCGAAAGAAGGAUAUGGACUUUUGGCUGUAAAUUGACAUGAAUUAGAAGAUUUGACAUGAAGAAUUGAAUCAGUUGCUGUAUAUUUUGGUAAGGAGCCAUAGGGAAGACGAAAUUUAUUGAGAAGUUUGCUAUAAAAUUAAACUUUUAGUCAGAGGAAAGAAUCUCAGUCCCUGAAUACUUGCCUCUCUCCAUUGCUCUCUGAGAUUCUUUCUAUAAUGUUUAUAAAGUGUCUCAUUAGCUGAGUGCUUCAGGGAUUUUAUUGAAUGCAUGUUUGCAGACAUGAUGUGGAUAAGCUAUUAUGUUAUAGUGUCUUGGAGAUUUUGCUGAUUCUCUAGAUUGCUUUAAAUUAUUGCUUUAAAGGUCACGGAAUAUUGGUGGUUAUAAAAAUCCCAUGUAUUCCUAUGAAAGGUAAACUACAUGCUCAAGUAGAUUGUUAUAAAUGCAUGGUGAUUUACUUCUGUUUGCUAUACCUUGAAUUUAUAAUUCUUAUAAAUGGCAUUCAUAAAUCAGUAUUGGAUAUUUGACAGAAACUUGAUUGUAUGAAAGUCAAAUUACAUAAUUAUGUUCUUCUAAAUGAACAUUGCAAGCGCAUUAUAUUUGAAAAGAGUGGGAAAUAAAAUAAAGGUAUUAAACUGUACAUUCAUUUGGGGUGAGACAUAAUGUGAGUUGAUGUCUUUUCACUUGACUUUGUUAGAAUAUGCAAAACUUGAACACAAAGCUGAUUGUCUGAUUUAUGUAAUGUAAUUGGCCUUAAUGGGUAAAUGAUUUUACAAAUCAUAUUGAUAGAAAAUGAAGAUAUGUGGAAACAAAUUAUUGUUACAAAAUAUCUUCAAGGUUUACGAAGAAGGGAUUUCCCUUUGUUGUCAAGGUUCAAAAUUUUGGUUUUGAUUUCAGCUGAGCCAAAUGAGUUUUUGUUUGACACUUUUUUGCAAUUUUUAACUCCAUCCUGCAGUUUCAGAUAAAAAACAGAAAAUCCUAAAAAUUCCAAAUAUAAAAUCAAAAUAAUUGAAGAAUAGUGAGUCAAGAUAAAAUUUAGAAAUCAUUUUAUUUUUGUAUCGACUUUUAAACAUUUGAGUGUAUUAUCCGGGCAGUUUCAUUUUGAAACAAGCAAAAAGUUCAUAAUUGUUAAAAAUAUAAUAAUAAAAUAAAAUGUUUCAUGUUUAGGAAUAUAAUCAGUCAUUUCAUUAUUUGAAAGCAAACUAACAGAUUAUUAUUCAAUAUGUUGUUUGGUUUCUGGUUAACCAAAUCCGAGACAAAAUAUUACCUUUCCUCUAAAUGCCUACAGUGUCCAACAUUAUAAUUCUUCUAUAUCUACUUCAAAUUCUUAAUUUCUAAGAUUAAUAUUGAGAAAUUGAUUUCCAAAAUUUGAAAAAAAGAAAUAUAAGAAAGAUAAAACUAACAAGUUGCCCAUAUCUAGAAUAUGUUUGAUCCUGCAAGUUGGUUUUGGCUGAGAUUGUAAAAUUUAUAGUGGUUGUAAAAACAGUUUUGGUUAAGAACAAAAAGUUUCAGUAGUAUUGCAGGUUUUUUUAAGUUUUGGGUUAUAGUUGAAACUUAAAUUAUCGUUAAUAUGCUUUUAGUGUUUCAUUUAGAAGGGAUUAUCGGGAUCGGAGGUGGAGUUAUGGCAGUGGUAUGGUUAAGAUGGUAUAGAAUAGCACAACUGAGAUGAAUCAAGGGGAUGUUGAUUUACAACUGAGCAAACUGCUAUAGUAUAUACACAUUCGUUAAGACAAAGUUGGACCUUACUAAAUUGAGAUGCUGAAUAAUUGACUUUGAUUUGAUCUUGCUAAGAAUUGACAUCCAUGUGAGAAGGAAAAUUGUGCUGAAACAAUGCCUUUCAGUGAUGAACCACUGAUGAUGGAGCUGAAAUUCUGUUCUUGUUUUAAUAAUUUUGAAAUUGAAGAAGAUUGUUCACAUCAUGUGGAGCAUAGUCACAACACAUUGCCUUUCAAUGCAGUAAAAAUUUUAUAAUAUUGUAUUUAUUCAAAUGGAUGAACGUGCAAAGUUAUUACCUCCAUCCAGGAACGCUACGGGACUGAACAAAUAGAACAAUCAUUACUGAACUAAUGAGGGCUCUGAAUCAUGCUAUUCUCUGGUCUUUGAGAUUUAACAACAGCUGCAGAAUCUAUGCUGGCAUGAGCAUGAGGUCAGAUCAGAUCACUGAUUCUCUGGUCCCAAACUAAAUUCCUAGUUAAACAAUUAGCAGGCUGAAAAUCUGAAGUCAGACUUGUGUUAACUUCUUGCCAUUCCCUAACCCCUGCACACUGGCAUUUCCUGCAAACCAUUGUACAAGGGCAUUCUAUCUUUAGAUUUUGGAUACUGUGGAUGCAAGUUUUAGUCUAUUGUAGCACUUUGAUUUUAUCAAUGAACAUUUCCAUUCACUGAUAAGAUAUAAGCUUUUGCUGUCAACUAAUAUGCUGCUGAAGUAAAUAGUAUGGAUGCACAGCUGGUCUCAGCGAAUCCCUAGUCUGUGAAUCUUUGGUUGGAAGCUUAGCUAUUAUGUUCUUUCAUAACUCACAUUCAGACCUUAUUAUUGAUAAACUUUCUUGGAGAGUUUGAAACGAGAUGAUGGAUCUUUGUCAUGUGGGAGGCACUUUUAAGCUCUAUGCUAAAGCACUUGCAGCACCAUGUUAUAAUUUGUACAGGAAGGAAGAAAUAAUUUUGGAAACCCAUAGGUGUCUGUUGUUAUAAUUAUCUGCAGGACUUUUUUGUCUUUUUAAUUUGUUUCUUUUUUCGAGUCUCUGCUUGGAAGUUGGACCUAGAGAUUCACUGAUGUUGGGAAUUUGCUGGGGAUGCAAGACUUGGUAUUAUACUUAUCAGCCAUGAAAUACUUUGAGUUUUGCGAUACUUUGUUUUAUUUUUUUUUCAGCCUUGCUCUGAUAUCUUCGGUUGUUUAUCCACCUUUUUUUACCGUAAUAACCACUCUAAAAUUGCUAUACCUUUUGUUGUUAUGAAGGGUAAUGCACAGUUAUGCAUCCAAUCAUGCACAAAAACAAUGCACAGUUAUGAAGGGUAAUAACCACUCUUUUUUUUUUUUUUUGGUUGAUACUGAUGCAUCUACACCUUAGAACAAGCAGAUUUGGAAUACAAUCACUGUGUCAACUCGGUACUCAGUGUUGUGGACUCAUCCUCAAUCCUCUCUCUCCUACUAGCUUGGAGGUGAUAGACUGCAUAAGCAAGCCUCUCUCAUAUAGCUGUAAGCUCUGCCAUAAGAAUAUUGAUGUUGGAGAGCCUUCUCUCCCCAACCACCAAAAUAUCUCCUGCAUCAUCUUUGAUCACAAAAGGACCUCACUCUACCAAUGCCUUUGUUUUCCUUGUACCUGCAAAUAGUGGCUACAGGGAUAGCAGUUCAUAGCCCUGUCCGAAGGAGCAUGGUGCGGUUAAUAGCCUCGCGCACGCGCGCGUUACCUUUGUAAAUGAGUAAAUUAAGAGGCACAGGUGUCUUUGUUUGGCUUCCAGUUUUACCAGUAAAUAGCGGCUCAAUCCAAGGACUCCGACAGCAUCUUUCCCGCACGAAUCCACCGUUGGACCAUCAGCUAGCCUCUUUCAGAUCUGUGCCAACGGAUAAAUAAUGGAAUUUGGAACGCUUUGAGAGCUGGGCGGUGGGUCAACCAACCGUGGCUUCAAGCGAUAGAGGGGGAAUUCUUCUUUUACCCGGUCCCCACUCCGUGUAUUAUGAAUAGCUACAGCAAGCUUAUUCAUAAUCACAGUAAUAAUGAUUAGGAUUUGAUGGGAGGCAAAAUGGAUCAUCCUACUCCAGCGUUGAGCCAUCCAAUUCCGGCCGAGCAGACCUCAGAGCCGAGCAGGCCAGACCUCGAUCCCGCUAAGAGCUAGACCGACCUUGGACCCUGCCAAAGGCCAAGCCGACCUCGGCCCAGUCAACCUUGAUCCCAUCAAAGAUCCUGCGGAUCCUCAGCACAAAAGGAAUGGUUCCUCCCCAAGGCCUUAUAUAGCCUACCUCAACGGCUCUGAUCGGCCUGCUCAGGCGGCUGAGCAACCAGAUCAUGCCCCAUGGUAGACUAUCACGUAACGCCUCGAGAGGGAGCGCACACGCAACGCAUUGAAGAGCCCUUAACUACUUCUGCUUGAAAUGAUGUGAUGGAUUCUUAGAACAAAUCUGGAAAAAUAUCUCCCACAUCCUCCGUCUGCGGGAUCGAUCUCCGUGAUUCACGCUACCUCAAGCUAAUGGCCAGCUGAUCACAAAUCGGCCCGAGAUUUCAGGUAACGGCCGAAACGCUCACCCUAUAAAAAGAGGUAGGAAAAGGCUCUUGGUAAGCUAUGAGAAGCAAUUCAAAACACUCAAAAACCUCUCCAAAAAUUUGGCUAACUUAGCCAUUGGAGGGCCUUCGCUGGAAUCCCUGAUUAAGGCUUUGUGCAGGUACACCGGAGCGCAGGAGGUGGCUCGCUUCCUCUGUCCCAGCUGGCGUCUUCUUGGCUUCCUCCGGCAUGGUCACCCUUAGGCCAAAUUUCAACAACAACAUGAUUAAUAUAGAGGCUUGUUCUUUGAAUUAUUUUUUUUAAGAAAAAAAAGGAAAGAUGAGCAAGUCCUCUAACUUGGAGCGAUGAUCAGGUAAGCAUACUAACAUAUCAUAAAUACAUGUAUUCUAUCCAUUUGGUCCCAAUGUGGGAUUGGAUGAUUCACUAUCUUUCAUUAAAUUGCGCAAUGGCUACUUCGAGAUCCAUGCAAAUAGGGGAAGAAAAAAAUUGAAAUACUUUGAGAGCAGUGUAAUAUGCAAUCUUACAGUUGAUGUCGCCAAAAAAACAAUCAUCAAUCAUUCUUUCGUGCGAAUGAUGCUACCCGAAACCUUUGGCCCAUGCAAUCUUUGUAAACAUGGCACCACCACCUCACGUUUCAGUUUCACCUCCUCAAUUCAAUUCAAACUAAAACUACUAUUUCUACCUAAAAAAGAGAAGAGGAGAAAAGAAAAAGCGAAAACGAACUCAAAUUAUCCAAAGAAGUCAUGGCUCCUCCAUGCUCCUCCUAUGCGUUCAAGAGAGGAUUGGUAGGGGGAGCCCUUGAAGAUGCGUGCGAGGACACAUUACUCCGACUGCUGGAGCUAGAACUACCCAUGAUCCCCGUCCCAGUGUAAGUAAAAUUAGUUAGGUCCACCGGCGGCGCAUAGUACAUCGGUUUCGGCAGGCUCGGCACCGGAGCCUCCGCCGUCAACACUCGGAGCACCUGCCGCAUCGAAGGCCUGAACUUGUGGUCUGGGUGUGCGCACCAGAGCCCCAGCGCCAUCAACCUCUCCAUAUGCCCCUCAUCGAAGCCCCCUUCAAGCCUCCCAUCAGCAGCCUCCACCGCCCUCCCCCUCCCAUGGAGCUCCCACACCCAGUCCACCAGCCUCAUCUCCAGCUCCCCAGCCUUGGGAUCGAUCGCCUUCCUCCCACAAGCAACCUCCAAUACCACCACUCCAAAGCUAUACACAUCAGACUCCCUGCCGGCCUUGCCCGUCGUCACGCACUCGGGCGCCAGAUACCCCAUCGUCCCCGCCAGCACCGUCGUCUGCGAGCCGAGCUCGUGGUCUACCAGCCUUGCCAGCCCGAAGUCGCCGAGCUUCGCAUUGAAGCUUGAAUCGAGCAUCACAUUGCUCGCCUUGAUAUCUCGGUGCACCACGCACUGCUUCCAUUCUUCAUGAAGGUAGAGCAAUGCCGAGGCCAGGCCGAGCACGAUCCUGUGUCGCACCAGCCAGGACAAGGAGGACUUCUUGCCGAAGAGGUAGGCGUCGAGGCUGCCGUUGGGCAUGUACUCGUAAACAAGGAGGAAUUCUCCCUUGUCGUGGCACCACCCUACCAAUCUCACAAGGUUUCGGUACGUGCCGUAGUCGGCCGAUGAUCGUCACCUCCGAAAUGUACUCCUUCCGCCCUUGGCUCGAGCCUCUCGAGAACCUCUUGACGGCCACCAUCUCAGACGAUGGAUUGCCCUUGAGAAGUCCCAGGUAGACGCCUCCAAAACCUCCUCGCCCAAGCUUGCCUUCCUCACUGAACUUUCUUGUAGCUAGGACUAGUUCUUUGUGAGUGAACCGCCUGGGUCCAGUUCCUUUAGCCAAUUCACCUUCCAUUGAUGCAUCAAGUACCAAGUCAUUCUCCUUUCCUCUCUUCUCACCCGACUUCUUCUUUAUGAGCAAGUAAGUAACCAAAGCAUGCAGCUAUUAGUCCUACUCCCACCACCACGGCCGCCACCAAAGGUAAGUUCUUCCUCUUCUUCUUGGAAGGUGCCUCCUGGUCGUUACCAAAGCUAGAGGAGAAAUCCCAAGAAAUAAUCUGGUGGAGCUCCGUCCGGCCGCCUGUGGAGGCCGAGAACCCAAUGAUCACCCUCUCCGGGAGGACCUCUCUCAGGUUCAGGCGGUGCGACAGGCUCGGAGUUCCAUUAUAGCGGUCGUCACCAUAGGUGAGGAACACAAAGAGCUCGCCCGACGUCGAGUUGUACCCGAUCCACGCCGAUCCGGUGCCCUCGUCCUUGAUGUCGCUGCCCCACGUCACCGUUACGUUGGAGAUGAUGGAGUUGACGUCGAUGCCGAAGUGGUUGUCGUCGGGAUCCCAUGGGUUCAUGUAUGUGUCGAACUCGACGGCGACGAGCUGCGUCGAGCUAGAAUUAUUGGUCGUUGAGUUGAAGAGGCCAAGCCAUGAACCAUUGGAGUUUAGCGGGAGCUCAUAGCCAACCGAUGCGAUGAAGAAGGAAAGGCCAUCGCCAUAGCUGGUCGGGUCGAGAGCAUUGAUGAUGAACUGGAAGUGGGUAGUGAAGUCGGCGAUGGCGAGGGUGGCGGGGUCCCAGAGCUGGAUCGGGUUGGCGUACACGGCGUGGCCGGAGCUCUGGCUGAGGUUGCCAUCGGCGCGGUUGCGGGUGAGCUGGAUGACGUUGUCGCCGGAGGGGUAGGCGUCGCCGGAGAAGUUGAUGCUGGGGUUGUUGGGGGUGAAGGAGGUGAAGUUGAAGAGGGUGGAAGGGGUGGCAGCGGGAAGGAGGGAAGAGAUGAGGGGAAGAAGAAGCCAUGGUAGGAGGGGGAGGAGAGGAGUCAUUGCUUGGUUGCGGAAAGGGAAGGGGAAGGUUGGUGUAAGUUGGAAGCUCUACUACUAAUACCUAAAGCAGUGAACCAGAUACCUACUACAGGCCAAGCAGCCAAGAAGAAAUGUAAGGAACGAGAAUUGUUGAAACUAGCAUAUUGGAAGAUCAAUCGGCCAUUCCUGACGGUUGGUUACUUGGUUGUGUUUUGAUCACGGGAGAAUGUUUUUGUGAGGCGGAGGGAUUAACGAGGAGCAAUGUGAAAACUUCUUUUGGUUUAUUCUCUUUGACGGAGCAAUCGAUUACCUCCGGUAUGGGCUUUUUUCCCACAUGGAGGCAGGAGAGCAGCAUUUCGAAGGAAGCGGUUUGUUUAAUUUGCUGGCCGGCCGGCUGCAGGGCUGACGGAGUUUGGUAUUUGCUUGGGCGAGAUCCAGCUUCAGUUUGACCAGAUUUUAACUCAAUCUACUUUAAAAUUGGGUUGGCUUAGAUUGGGUUCAGAGUUCUUAUGCAAAGAUUCAAUGGAGAAAAUGGACAUUAUUAAUAUCAGCAACAAUUUUAUUUGGUCCAUUGGAGAUGGGUGUGAUAUCCGAUCCUGGGUUCUCAAAAAUUCCACUUGCCUUGGGUCGUUUGUUUGCCUUGGGGCAGGCUCCCUACAUCCCUUUUCCUAUCCACUCCGGGCGUUAGCUUCUCUGUACGUCAACGACGCAAUGGUGAACCUGAAACUAUUGACCAAUGCUCGUUGAAAUGCCCAAAGGAUUCAACGGUGUAGGAUUUGGAGAAAAUUCUAGAAUUUCAAUAUGUUUGGAGUCGCAGUCAACCUCUACAAUUUGUAUGAGGCCGCUUGCCUGCCGUAGAUGGAUUACGGUAGGAACAAAAUCGAGGUACGCCAUUUUUAUGCCAGGCUCCAUUUCAGUGCCACUUUAUUAUUGUGUUAGAGAUCAUUCGACCACCAAGAAUUAGUAUAUUCUCUGUCCCAUAUUAUUAUACCAAAUCAAUAUGGUAUGGUAUGAUAUAUUCUGUAAUGAAUGUCCGAUUCAAUGUGGUCUCUGCUUAUUUUCUCUAGAUCAUAUGGAAGGAUAUAUAAGAACUUCAAACGACUUGUAUUGGUGCUCGGCAAGUUCAAGCAACUGCCAUAUACGCCGCGGCUAUCUCUCUCUCUCUCNNNNNNNNNNNNNNNNNNNNUCUCUCUCUCUCUCUCUCUCUCUCUCUCUCUCUCUCUCGCUCUCGCAUCACCACUGGGAGCCUCCACAACUGGAAGUCUGGAACACAGCAUGAUAAAUUUUGAUGGAUGAUGCCGGAGUCCUUUUAGCUGGAGUUAUGCCCCUAUCCUUUCAGUCACCAACUUUGAAUUAACUGCUGAAUAUAUAGGUAUGAAGACACAUGCUUGAAGCCACCAAAAUUCAUUUAAAGGUGAUGCAACUACCGUUUUGUCAUGUAUUAAUGGGGCAGACUCCCUUCGUCACCCUUACCUCCCCAAUAUUAGAUCAGUGAAGUGCUCUCGAGAUGAUUUGAGAGCUACUCGUGUUUGGAGGGAAGGAAACCAAGUUGCACCCUCACUCGGUGUCAUCUUCGGUACACCCUCGGUCUGGACGGAUGACUUCCUUCUUAUCCUCUGCUGACUCAAUGGGAGUCCGUUUUUGUAGGCUUUUCUUUCUUUCCUCUUCUUGUACCUGGAAGUUUUCCCCUCGCAACUAUCAAAACUAAAUAAAUACAACAUGAUUUAACUAUAUUUAUACAUAUUGUCUUUUAGCAAUAAUCAUUUAUCCGUCGAGCUUCGAUUACAGUAUGUUAGCAUAAAUGCUUCCGGCAUGAUCAAAAAAGUUUAAAAAAGAAAAUUAGGAUAAAAAUUUAUCUCAACAACCACUGCAAUCAAAUAGAUAAUCUUAAUUAUCCAUACUACUCGAGUCCCAGACUGUCCUAAAAUAUCUACAAAGCUAAUCCACGGCACCAAUGCCUGCAUGAAGCACAGGCUAUAUAUUAGUCAAAGAUCAAAGAUAAGGUCUUGUAACAACAAAUAACUUCCUUCAGUAUAAACCCUAGCAACAAGUUCGACCUUGCCCAUUUUGAUACUGAAAACCUGUAAUACAAGAUGGGCAUAAUCCACGUGAAAUGUGUUGACAAGAUCACAAACUUUAGUUUCUGUUUCAAUUAAUUCUCCUCCUCCAAGGUCCAGUUUCCAAUUGUUGGAGUCACUUUUCCUAAGAAAAUGGAACCGAAUCGAUGGAGGAACAGAAAAAAAAAGGGUCCUUCAAACAAAUGCAUAAGCCAGCUAUGAUUCAGAUGUAAACCAGAUCAGUUUCGACAAUAAUUAGGUUGCAUAAUCUACAGAACUAGAAGUUUCUUUACAGCAGAAAAUAGAUUUACUAUUAUAAUGCAUAUCAUGCACAAAGGAGCUAUAAGAAAACUGCCCCUCCAAAAGGAACAAGGAUGUACCAGCGAGGAUUUACAGCUAAAAUCCCUAUUCAGGGUACCUUACUGGUUUGAACUUUGCAUUGAACACGGUGCAUAAGGCUCAAAGAGAGUGACACUGGGGUUCCGAUCGUAUUGCAGAAUAUCUGCAGCUCGUUCAAAUUCUUCCCUCAGAAUUUUAAUGCUGUACUUGUCAACCACACGGCCGAGAUCAUGGGAAAUCUCGAAGGGAUCUUCUAUGCAUAUUAGAUGACGAUCAUUUCCAAUCCGCCUUGUCCAAUCCUUAGCUUGCUUGCUGCCAGAAAAAUCCUUCAGGUUACAAAAGAAUUUCACAAGCAUUCUAAGACAUGUUCCAUGGUUAAUUAAUAAUUACUGUUUAUAACACACAAAAAAGUUGAUGUUGCAGGGGUUGAAUACAUCAAACAACAUGGAUAUCGAGUUUCAUUCAUGCUCUGCACCAUGAACCAGAUUUGACUGGUGCCCAAAACAAAAAACUCAACAAUGAAAUACGAACAGAAAAAUUUUAGAAAAAUUAAGAAAAAAUAAAAUAAAACUGAUGAGAGUAAUAAAAAUCCUCUAAACUCUUUGAGGUUGUGGUUGCCAUUAAAAGUACAGCUGCAUGCUCAAAUCUGAGUCAGGUAAUAGCUUUACAAAAAAAUUACAUAUCCUUCUGAAAGACAUAAUCUUUGUAUGAUAAUACAUAUGCCCAAAAUAUAACAGCAGAUCAACCUAAAAAAAUUAUUAAAUAAAUAAAUAAUCCAUGAAUGACUAGAUCCAGAAUGCAUGUUCCCAUGCAAAGGAUUUUUCGAUGAACACAACAACGAGAUCUGAUCCCAUCACAUGACUGAGAAUUUGACUCGUGAAGAGAAUGACUUUUCUUAAAUCAUCCAUACAAAAUAAAUUUUAUCACUCCAAAGUACAAAUCAUAUCAUCAUAAAAAAAACAACCGUUACAAGCAUUAGUAUUUGGCUCAUGUGGUGCCCAAAAGGGGCAUAAUGGCCAUUGUGAAUUUUAAUAUCAAUUUGUUUGGAGUAAAUUCAAUGAAAUUCUACCAAUUUAUUUGCUUCUUUAUUCUCUUUGUCCUAGUGGUUCUAUGGUGGGAUGUGCUUAUUGAAAAAAAGAGUGCAAGGGGGUCUACUCCCACUAGGAAGUGUUCCAUGGAUCAGGGUUGGAGAUGUGGGUAAAGAAAGAGCACCUGUGUUAUGCACAAAGGGUAUAACUAGCAUUCCCAACUACAGGUGGAAUAGGACAGCCCUAAAGCAACCUAGACAAAUGAGAUAUUGAACAAAGAAGUGGCCUCCUGGGGAUUAUUAAAGGUAGCCUAGACAUCUAGGCUAGUGAAAUUUUAGUCCAUAAGCACCACCAACGGCAUAAAUAUAAUCCAAACAGCAUCAAAUGAUAUAUUCAUUGUCAUCGGUUAUAAAAUCAGGUAGCAAGAAUAUCACUUCGAAAAAGUAUAGGUCCACCAGAGGAGCAGCCUAAUCCAAGCAAGUUGGUCGCAGGAACUUCUCCUGUGGCCAGCCUCUAUUUUUGCUGCCUUGUUCUUUUCUCCAAGCAGAAACAGAAAGAUCCAUCUAUGACCUCACUUUGUAUCUUUCAUGGGAAAAAAAAGCAUAUGACAGUUCACAAAAGAAGAACAAUCUUGUAAAUAGAUUCAUGUUCAUAGGAUGUGACAACAGUUUUUAUGCUGGCCUCAACCUAUCACAA